rnacentral:rRNA from 1 species
UCCGGAGGGCGCAAGCGUUGUUCGGAAUCACUGGGCGUAAAGCGCGUGCAGGCGGCUUGGUAAGUCGGGUGUGAAAUCCCGGAGCUCAACUCCGGAACUGCACCCGAUACUGCCUCGCUAGAGUCCCGGAGAGGAUGGCGGAAUUUCCGGUGUAGAGGUGAAAUUCGUAGAUAUCGGAAGGAACACCAGCGGCGAAGGCGGCCAUCUGGACGGUGCCUGACGCUCAGACGCGAAAGCGUGGGGAGAAAACAGG